AAAAUUCGGAGUGCCAUAGUCUUUAUAAUAUCUCGCUGUCACAUGUAGAGUUAACUAAUUAACGUUUGUUAUGUUGUUUAGUUUCGUAUUAUCUAGAAUUUCACAGGGACUCUGUUACCCGACCACUAGCCCGGUUACUUUUUACAUCGAAAACGUAAAUGCGCAGGCGCGCUGCUUUAGAGGGCCAAAGUUUUCCCAAUGAAGGCCAAUGGAGCUCUUUCACUUUAUUCAAACAAAAGCUUAUCGCAUCAAUGGAUUAAUUUUUUUUCCUAUCUAGUUUUUAAGGGAAACCGAGAGCGGGAAAUAUUAGGGAGCGAGUCAACAUCAAGAAAGGACGGACCGAGUGCACUCAUUGUACGAGAGAUGGCGCCAGAGACUAGCCAAGUGCACGGAAUAUGUUUUGUCCACCGGACAACGCAAACUGACCAAACUGAUUAAAUUAUGACGUGCGAUUAAACAUUUUAGACCAACGUUUUUAUGAAAAACUUCGAUAGAAAAAAAAAAAAAAUCAUGAACUAGAAUUUUUUGAGGAAUAACGACAAAUAAUUAUUUGUAAUUAAGUAUAUCGUUAAUUAGUUUAAGUAAAUUAUA